UAUCGGCUCUUGUGAACCGGUACACGAGGACAGAACCUGUUUUCGUGACUCUGGCGAACCCUUCAGUAUCAAAAGGAAGUUGUGUCUUGCCUUGAGAGGUAUUUUGUGGUCCUUACGUUUCUGUACUUUAAGCCUGAGAAAUAUCAGUUAUCUGGCGUUUCCUUCUGGCGCUUUGGUGUUCUCAGCAUCGGAAACUUGUUUUGCUGCGCCGAAGUAUUAGUCCCGGUUUGACACGCUCUCCCUGCGGACUGAUUCAGUGUCAAACUUGACUGACCCUGUUACCUGGUUGUUACCCAUUUUUUGGGUCUUGGUCAUCAGCCAAAGUCUGAAUCCAACGGAAGUUUGACUUCCGUUGGCUGCUGUAGAAUCCUGCGCAAAGUUAUCUUGUUUCUCCAUGAACAACAGACGAGAGUACAACUGAAGCAAUUCGCCGGAGUGGAAUCAGCCAAAGGAGGUUAUCAUUUCAUCGCCAUGUUGCUCACUUCGCCUCCGUUGAAAACGAUUCUUGUUGCUUUCCUAAGUUUUCUGGAUAAUCAUCACACAGAUGCAUGUUCAGGUUGGUGUGAAUCCGCGAUAAACCUUUUCUGUUGUCAGGAGUAAGUUUAUGUUGUUAUGUGUUGUUACGCGAACGGCUUACUGUAUUUUGCGAAACGAAACGAAAUGAAACGAAACGAGUAAAU